GGAUCGCAGGCUGCAACCCGCCUGCGUGAAGUCGGAAUCGCUAGUAAUCGCGGAUCAGCAUGCCGCGGUGAAUACGUUCCCGGGCCUUGUACACACCGCCCGUCACACCAUGAGAGUCGGGAACACCCGAAGUCCGUAGCCUAACCGAAAGGAGGGCGCGGCCGAAGGUGGGUUCGAUAAUUGGGGUGAAGUCGUAACAAGGUAUC
rnacentral:rRNA from 1 species